UGAGAAAGCACGGAAGGAAUGUCUGUGGAGGAUGUACUCAAAAAAUACACAUACUUCAGGACACCUGCUGGAGGGGACCCGGCUACACCUUUCCUACCAUACACCUGAUGGAUACUGACUGUAAAAUGGCAAUCAUAGGAGGAGGGCUCAGUGUGGUGACAGAAGAUGGAAUAGAUGUGUGUCAGUGCACCAGCCUUGAUGAAGCCUUCAUAACAGCCUUGUAUGGUUGACUGGAAGUCUGUCAGUCCAGAUGUGAGGAAGACAUACAGAGUGGAGCUGGAGCUCAGCAAAUGUGAUGGCUGUAGAUACUGUGUUCUUGGAAAGAAGGGUGUCUUCACCGCUUUCUAUUCAGACAAAGAGUUUGCUGGAUUCUGUUCUAUGGACUGCUACUACAGAAUGAAUGAGUGGUU